rnacentral:lncRNA from 1 species
UCUUGUCCUUUGAAUUUUCUCUUCAAAUUUUGCAAAGACCAGUUGGGUCAUCGAGCUGUUGUCUGCCGGUCACGCUCUGAUUACAUGCCCCAAAUUUUAUCACCAACAUCAUCUUAAAUCAAUUACAUUAUAACAAAGUCUGAAUUUCUACCUUUACAAAAAUUUAAAAGGAUAUUUGGUCCUACUUACAUUAAGGAUCGAUGCCUACCUUUACUCAAUUAUAUACUAAUAAAUAUAUUAGAGUUCCUAAAAAGGAACUCAAGCCCAUGCCCUCACUUUGGAGAGGGUGUGUAAGGAUGGCAAAAAAAUCUAGAUUUGGCGUGCAUCCGCAAAGAUCUGGAUGCACUUGCAUCUGGAAAACUGGAUAUCUAGAUUCAGAUGAAUUUUAUUUUAAAUUAAAAAUUGAAUUAAAAAUAUAUAUUAACUUAAGUUAAAAAAAUAAUAAUAAUCUGUAACCCUAAGUCAAUAACGCAUUCAACUUUCACACACUCAUUGACUCACGGUAGCCCACCUUACCAGCAGCCAUGACCCCCAAAUCUCUAACGGCCAAAACCGAAGGGCUUGUAACGCUGUCGACCGAUUGCCGUCUUCCUCGCAGCCUCACCUGAGCCUCGCCUCGAAGCUCGCCUGAGCAUAUCGCUGUCGCUGCAUGCCUCGCCGUCAUCGAAGCCUCGCCGUCAUUGAAGCCUUGCCAUGUCGUUGUUGCUACACGCGUCAUCGUCGCCAACCCUCGCCUGAUCGGGUUGUUCUUGCCGGUAGUUGUUACUGCACGUUUCUAUUAAUUUUUUGUUCUUUCUAUUAAUUACAUGGCUAUUUUUUCUAUUUAAUAAUUUGGUAUUGUGGCUAACUGUUUGAUUGCAUUUAAUGAGUUUAAUCUAAUGUAAAUCUGUUAAAACUUGAAAAUGUUACUGGCUUAAUUUAAUUUCCUUGCUGGUUUAAUUUAAUUUAAUUUAAUUUUGAUUAAAUUUCUUUGCUGAUUUGUUUAAUUAUUUUAAUUAAAUGCAUUAAUUUUCAAUAUAAUGUAAAUGCUUAAUCUAUUUUUUUUCUACACAUAUGCUAACUCACUUUACGAAUUACUUUAAUUAAGUUUUGGGAUUAGUUGAAUAUGGCCGCCAAAGGGGAGCAAGGAAAUAAUUUUUCAUUCUCUCCAAAUAGCGUCAUGAUAUGUUGGAUUCGAGACUUGGAAUUUCCAUGAAUUUAUAGUGUUUUUAUUUUCGGAUUUUAAUGUUGGUGUGCUUGAAUUUAUAUUAUUUUUUAUGUUUGAUUUAUAUUGUGAUAUUUUAUUUGUGAAAUUUUUAUUUGUGAAUUUAUAAUGUUGUCGUAUUUUAUUUACUUAUUUACUUAUUUAUGUUGAUUGUUAAUU